GAAUCCAUAGGUUAAUGAGGCGAACCGGGGGAACUGAAACAUCUAAGUACCCCGAGGAAAAGAAAUCAACCGAGAUUCCCCCAGUAGCGGCGAGCGAACGGGGAGCAGCCCAGAGCCUGAAUCAGUGUGUGUGUUAGUGGAAGCGUCUGGAAAGGCGCGCGAUACAGGGUGACAGCCCCGUACACAAAAAUGCACAUGCUGUGAGCUCGAUGAGUAGGGCGGGACACGUGGUAUCCUGUCUGAAUAUGGGGGGACCAUCCUCCAAGGCUAAAUACUCCUGACUGACCGAUAGUGAACCAGUACCGUGAGGGAAAGGCGAAAAGAACCCCGGCGAGGGGAGUGAAAAAGAACCUGAAACCGUGUACGUACAAGCAGUGGGAGCACGCUUAGGCGUGUGACUGCGUACCUUUUGUAUAAUGGGUCAGCGACUUAUAUUCUGUAGCAAGGUUAACCGAAUAGGGGAGCCGAAGGGAAACCGAGUCUUAACUGGGCGUUAAGUUGCAGGGUAUAGACCCGAAACCCGGUGAUCUAGCCAUGGGCAGGUUGAAGGUUGGGUAACACUAACUGGAGGACCGAACCGACUAAUGUUGAAAAAUUAGCGGAUGACUUGUGGCUGGGGGUGAAAGGCCAAUCAAACCGGGAGAUAGCUGGUUCUCCCCGAAAGCUAUUUAGGUAGCGCCUCGUGAAUUCAUCUCCGGGGGUAGAGCACUGUUUCGGCAAGGGGGUCAUCCCGACUUACCAACCCGAUGCAAACUGCGAAUACCGGAGAAUGUUAUCACGGGAGACACACGGCGGGUGCUAACGUCCGUCGUGAAGAGGGAAACAACCCAGACCGCCAGCUAAGGUCCCAAAGUCAUGGUUAAGUGGGAAACGAUGUGGGAAGGCCCAGACAGCCAGGAUGUUGGCUUAGAAGCAGCCAUCAUUUAAAGAAAGCGUAAUAGCUCACUGGUCGAGUCGGCCUGCGCGGAAGAUGUAACGGGGCUAAACCAUGCACCGAAGCUGCGGCAGCGACGCUGAUGCGUUGUUGGGUAGGGGAGCGUUCUGUAAGCCUGUGAAGGUGUGCUGUGAGGCAUGCUGGAGGUAUCAGAAGUGCGAAUGCUGACAUAAGUAACGAUAAAGCGGGUGAAAAGCCCGCUCGCCGGAAGACCAAGGGUUCCUGUCCAACGUUAAUCGGGGCAGGGUGAGUCGACCCCUAAGGCGAGGCCGAAAGGCGUAGUCGAUGGGAAACAGGUUAAUAUUCCUGUACUUGGUGUUACUGCGAAGGGGGGACGGAGAAGGCUAUGUUGGCCGGGCGACGGUUGUCCCGGUUUAAGCGUGUAGGCUGGUUUUCCAGGCAAAUCCGGAAAAUCAAGGCUGAGGCGUGAUGACGAGGCACUACGGUGCUGAAGCAACAAAUGCCCUGCUUCCAGGAAAAGCCUCUAAGCAUCAGGUAACAUCAAAUCGUACCCCAAACCGACACAGGUGGUCAGGUAGAGAAUACCAAGGCGCUUGAGAGAACUCGGGUGAAGGAACUAGGCAAAAUGGUGCCGUAACUUCGGGAGAAGGCACGCUGAUAUGUAGGUGAAGUCCCUCGCGGAUGGAGCUGAAAUCAGUCGAAGAUACCAGCUGGCUGCAACUGUUUAUUAAAAACACAGCACUGUGCAAACACGAAAGUGGACGUAUACGGUGUGACGCCUGCCCGGUGCCGGAAGGUUAAUUGAUGGGGUUAGCGCAAGCGAAGCUCUUGAUCGAAGCCCCGGUAAACGGCGGCCGUAACUAUAACGGUCCUAAGGUAGCGAAAUUCCUUGUCGGGUAAGUUCCGACCUGCACGAAUGGCGUAAUGAUGGCCAGGCUGUCUCCACCCGAGACUCAGUGAAAUUGAACUCGCUGUGAAGAUGCAGUGUACCCGCGGCAAGACGGAAAGACCCCGUGAACCUUUACUAUAGCUUGACACUGAACAUUGAGCCUUGAUGUGUAGGAUAGGUGGGAGGCUUUGAAGUGUGGACGCCAGUCUGCAUGGAGCCGACCUUGAAAUACCACCCUUUAAUGUUUGAUGUUCUAACGUUGACCCGUAAUCCGGGUUGCGGACAGUGUCUGGUGGGUAGUUUGACUGGGGCGGUCUCCUCCUAAAGAGUAACGGAGGAGCACGAAGGUUGGCUAAUCCUGGUCGGACAUCAGGAGGUUAGUGCAAUGGCAUAAGCCAGCUUGACUGCGAGCGUGACGGCGCGAGCAGGUGCGAAAGCAGGUCAUAGUGAUCCGGUGGUUCUGAAUGGAAGGGCCAUCGCUCAACGGAUAAAAGGUACUCCGGGGAUAACAGGCUGAUACCGCCCAAGAGUUCAUAUCGACGGCGGUGUUUGGCACCUCGAUGUCGGCUCAUCACAUCCUGGGGCUGAAGUAGGUCCCAAGGGUAUGGCUGUUCGCCAUUUAAAGUGGUACGCGAGCUGGGUUUAGAACGUCGUGAGACAGUUCGGUCCCUAUCUGCCGUGGGCGCUGGAGAACUGAGGGGGGCUGCUCCUAGUACGAGAGGACCGGAGUGGACGCAUCACUGGUGUUCGGGUUGUCAUGCCAAUGGCACUGCCCGGUAGCUAAAUGCGGAAGAGAUAAGUGCUGAAAGCAUCUAAGCACGAAACUUGCCCCGAGAUGAGUUCUCCCUGACUCCUUGAGAGUCCUGAAGGAACGUUGAAGACGACGACGUUGAUAGGCCGGGUGUGUAAGCGCAGCGAUGCGUUGAGCUAACCGGUACUAAUGAACCGUGAGGCUUAACCUU
rnacentral:rRNA from 1 species